rnacentral:rRNA from 1 species
UGCCAGCAGCCGCGGUAAGACGGGAGAUGCAAGCGUUAUUCGGAUUUAUUGGGCGUAAAGGGUCUGUAGGUUGUUGGUUAAGUCUAUGGUCAAAUUCCGAAGCUCAACUUCGGGCCGGCACUAGAAACUAAUCAACUUGAGUACGUUAGAGGCAGGGGGAAUUCCCAGUGUAGCGGUGAAAUGCGUAGAUAUUGGGAGGAACAUCAAUGGCGAAGGCGGCCUCCUGGAUCUGUACUGACACUGAGGUGCGAAAGCGUGGGUAGCGAACAGGAUUAGAUA